rnacentral:rRNA from 1 species
UACGUAGGGGGCAAGCGUUGUCCGGAUUUAUUGGGCGUAAAGAGCGUGUAGGCGGCUAGGUAGGUGGGUUGUGAAAACUGGAGGCUCAACCUUCAGACGUCGACCCAAACCCCCUGGCUAGAGUCCGGAAGAGGAGAGUGGAAUUCCUGGUGUAGCGGUGAAAUGCGCAGAUAUCGGAAGGAACAUCAGUGGCGAAAGCGGCUUCCUGGACCAGCACCGACGUUCAGGCACGAAAGCGUGGGGAGCAAACAGG